rnacentral:misc_RNA from 1 species
GCAAACUUGGUCAUUUAGAGGAAGUAAAAGUCGUAACAAGGUCUCCGUUGGUGAACCAGCGGAGGGAUCAUUACAGAGUUCUCGCAACUCCCACACCCUUGUGAACCAUACCACAUGUUGCCUCGGCGGGGCGCGACCACCCUGUGGCAACCUACCCUGUAGGCGCUACCCUGUGGACGCGGUUCACCCCGCCGGCGGCCCAUCAAACUCUGUUUACUUUUGACUUCUGAACCUAUAACGAAAUACGUUAAAACUUUCAACAACGGAUCUCUUGGUUCUGGCAUCGAUGAAGAACGCAGC